GGCGCCAUCUUGGGGGCGCCUGACAAGCUAGGCGUAGGGGAUUCGGGCAGUGUAGGCUGUAGAGACACGCAAAGCCCUGGAGGCCGGCGGGUUACAGUCAAGGAUCCCUGAGGGCCAGUGGCAAAAAAAAAAAAAAAAAAAAAAAGAGACACCACUCGGCGUGAAUGGGAGAGGAAACCAAGCAGCAGCAGUCACACAGGGCAAAAGGAACAAAACAAGGCUUAAGACUUUUUUUUCCUAUUAAGAGGAUGAACGGGGAAAUCGAGGAAGAGUAGAAUGGAAACAAGAUGUCAGGAGAGGGAGUUUAGAGGAAGAGGUACGUGACAGGAAGUGAGAAAUGGAAGGAGAAAGGAAAAGCCCCGUUAGUAAGGUCCCUUGGAAGAAGCUGAGGGUGUGGGGUGGAAGACCUGAAGAAGGAAGUUUAUGGGAUUUGUAGUGGAUCGAGUCAGUUGUUCUUGUUUUUGUUUGAGGCAUGGUCUGGCUUUGUGAACAGGCUGGCCUCACAGAGAUCCGCCUGACUCGGCCUCUCCUGUUUUGAGCAUUAAAGGUAUCUUUCCAGGUGACUGCCCUUCCACACAGUUACAGUUAAGGACCCCUAGGCAUGGGAAGAAUUUCCUGGGAAAACAUGAAGUUCCAGGCCAGCCAGGGAGAUGGUUCAGCGCGUAAAGCCACAUGCUAAGCCUGAUCUGGAGUUUUGAUUCUGGGAUCCACAGGGUGAAAGGAGAGAACUGACUCUUGUAAGUUGUUCUCUGACUUCUGCAUAUACCAGAGUGUGCAUACAUGAACAUACACACACACACCUGAAUGUAAUAUGGUAGCGAGUGACUGAAGAGAUCCAGUAUCCAUAUUUGGACUCCACACAAGUACACCACAGUUUUCAGGAAGCUCCCUCUUGAAGCCAAGGUUAAGGGAGUUAUCAGAGGUGCAUCUGGUUGGUCAAACUGUCCCCCGUUUCCCCAACUGAAGCUCAGAAAAACUAGGAGGGGUUUGAACACAGAACCACAGGGCCCCCCAGCCCGACCAAUACGAUCUCCCCCUCCUCUGCUUCCCUCCCUCCUUGCUCCCUGCCUGCCUGCCUCCCUCCCUCCUGCCCGCCCUCCUCCCUGCCUCCCUCCCUUCAUCUCUCCCCUCCACCACCACCACCACCACCAUCACCACCACCACCACCACCACCACCACCCCACCCCCCCGCGCUCCAGGACUCAGCGCGGGCGGGCGGGCAGGCGGCGGCCUAGGAGGGGAGAAGGAGCAGUGGCGGCAGC
rnacentral:lncRNA from 1 species